rnacentral:rRNA from 1 species
CCUACGGGUGGCAGCAGUGGGGAAUAUUGGACAAUGGGGGCAACCCUGAUCCAGCGACGCCGCGUGUGUGAAGAAGGCCUGCGGGUUGUAAAGCACUUUUAGUGGGGAGGAAAACACUCGACCUAAUACGUCGUGAAUUGACUUAACCCACAGAAAAAGCACCGGCUAACUCUGUGCCAGCAGCCGCGGUAAUACAGAGGGUGCAAGCGUUAAUCGGAAUUACUGGGCGUAAAGCGUGCGUAGACGGUUUAUUAAGUCGGAUGUGAAAUCCCCGGGCUCAACCUGGGAAUUGCAUUCGAGACUGAUCAGCUAGGGUACGGAAGAGGGAAGCGGAAUUUCCGGUGUAGCGGUGAAAUGCGUAGAUAUCGGAAGGAACAUCAGUGGCGAAAGCGGCUUCCUGGUCCAGUACCGACGUUCAGGCACGAAAGCGUGGGGAGCAAACAGGAUUAGAUACCCCAGUAGUC